CCUAUGGGGGGCUGUAGUGGGGAAUAUUGGACAAUGGGCGAAAGCCUGAUCCAGCCAUGCCGCGUGUGUGAAGAAGGCCUUCGGGUUGUAAAGCACUUUCAGUGGGGAAGAAAGCCUUGGGGCUAAUACCCUCGAGGAAGGACAUCACCCACAGAAGAAGCACCGGCUAACUCCGUGCCAGCAGCCGCGGUAAUACGGAGGGUGCGAGCGUUAAUCGGAAUUACUGGGCGUAAAGCGCGCGUAGGCGGUCUGAUAAGCCGGUUGUGAAAGCCCCGGGCUCAACCUGGGAACGGCAUCCGGAACUGUCAGGCUAGAGUGCAGGAGAGGAAGGUAGAAUUCCCGGUGUAGCGGUGAAAUGCGUAGAGAUCGGGAGGAAUACCAGUGGCGAAGGCGGCCUUCUGGACUGACACUGACGCUGAGGUGCGAAAGCGUGGGUAGCAAACAGGAUUAGAUACCCUAGUAGUC
rnacentral:rRNA from 1 species